CCCAUCCCUCCAGAGAAACUGCAGUGUUUCAGAGCAUUCAUCCAGUGUGCCAGGUUUGCAAAGCCACUCGUGUUGAAGAGCGUACAAGAGUAAAGAGAAAGCUGGAGAGGAAGGGAUCUAGAGAGGAAGAAGAUGGACCACUAACUUUCAGGGAGAGAAAACUGCGAAGGAGGAAGCUGCGAAGGAGGAAGCUGUGAAGGAGGAUGAGACCUGAAUAAGACUAACUACAUCUACCUCCUGCAAAUAAAGACUUGUUUGUUUGAUGCAGUCACUGUGUCCUGUGAUUCAAUCCGCAAUAUCGGCUUUGUAUUCCUGUGGUUAAGCAGCAUUUUUUUUUUUGCUGAAUUUUUUU